ACGAACGCUGGCGGCGCGUCUUAAGCAUGCAAGUCGAACGGCAAGAGAGGAGCUUGCUUCUCUCCUAGAGUGGCGGACUGGUGAGGAACACGUGGGUAAUCUACCCUUAAGAUGGGGAUAGCUGCUAGAAAUAGCAGGUAAUACCGAAUACACUCGGCAUAUCACAAGAGGUGUUGAGGAAAGGAAGCUACGGCUUCGCUUGAGGAUGAGCUUGCGUCCCAUUAGCUAGUUGGUGAGGUAAAGGCCCACCAAGGCGACGAUGGGUAUCCGGCCUGAGAGGGUGAACGGACACAUUGGGACUGAGAUACGGCCCAAACUCCUACGGGAGGCAGCAGCUAAGAAUAUUCCGCAAUGGACGGAAGUCUGACGGAGCGACGCCGCGUGGAUGAAGAAGGCUGAAAAGUUGUAAAAUCCUUUUGUUGAUGAAGAAUAAGGGUGAGAGGGAAUGCUCAUCUGAUGACGGUAAUCGACGAAUAAGCCCCGGCUAAUUACGUG
rnacentral:rRNA from 1 species